GAAGGAAAACCACAUGAAGAGAAGAGCAUUUCAUAUCAUUCUCAUAACUACUGUCAGUAUGUUCAUCACAUAUACUCCAUGCACUUUUUCAGGAAUCUAUUGCAUUAUGAUAGACCAGUAUGUUGAUGAAACCAUUGUAAUUAGUUUGAUCUUUUUUGUUGUUGCUGGUUUCGUUCAGCCUGUUCUUUAUCUGCACCAGGCUGGAAAACUUUUAUGUUCAUGAUUAAACCUGUCAUUGUGAAUUUAAUUCCAAAACUUUUAUAUUUUUGGAUAGGAAAGUUGUACAUUUCCUUUAUCAAUUAUUUUAAUUUAAAACUAAUUGUCACUUUUCUUUAUAUAAGAGUUAAUUAUGUAGUUAAAGGAGGAAUAUGGAAUAAAAAAAAUAAUACCAGUCUAUUAUUACUUAUCAUCUACUAAAAGUGUGCGGUUUGUGUCUAGAAACAUUGUCCUCUGCUUUUUUUACCUGGCUGUGAUCUACUGUAACCUUUCUGAAGUUCAAACAUCUCAGAUAUAAAAAUCUCUGAGUAAAAGUGGUUUUAACACAAGUUAUAAUGCAAGAUAUUUGGAUGUUACACAAGUUUACUUCUGUGCAUUAUCUUUUCAAGCACUCUGCCUCAAAAAUCUGACAAAGCUAAAGUUAAGCUGAGAUUUCUCAUCCAGUUUUUGUACAGCUCUUUCAUGCAGUGUAAGACAUUUAAUGGUAACAUAUUCAAAAACCAUUUUGCAUAAAAAAAACAAGAAUAUGCACAUUAAUGAUUAAAAAUACAUAUUUAGUGAGUGUGGUGAAGGUUUUAACUAAUGAGAAACUGAAACAACAAUCUCUUCAAUCUUUUAUAACAGAAGACAGUAGAGCCACAUAGUUAUUAAUAUAAAAGCCACUGGUUCAUCAUAAACGGUGGCUCAUAAACAAAUGCUAAAAGGUUAAAAGAUAUCUAACAGACAUUGAUCAUUCAAGAACACAUCUGAUGACAUAAUUAAAUUCAGGCUACAUACUGUAGAGCCCAGUUGCAACAAUACCCAGCUUGUAUUAAAUGGCUAUGUUUUUAAAAUACAUGCAAAAAUUUUAACAAGAAAAAUGUAUUUAAAAGCCUUCUAACUUAGAGGAAACAGGUAGACAGAUAUGGUAAUUUUCCCUGAUUAGGCCUACUACACAUCAAAGCAUGAGUUAAACCACUGGCUCGAACAGUUAACAUUUCUACACAUAUACACAUACAGAAAGAGAGUGAUCAACGUGUAUCAAAUAAAUAAAUUAAAUUAUAAAACACCCAAAACAACUUAAAUUUAAAAACCAUUCACAGCACUCAGACAGAGAGAAGCACGCGCGCCCUCUAGUGCUCAAAUAAUAGAUACAGAUUUACGAGUUGAUGUGCAAAAGCUUUACAUUUACAUCAAUUAAAUUAUAGAAAAUGUAAGAGUUUAAAGUGGUAAAAGAACAUAUUUAUUAUUUAUUUUAACAUGGCAAAAUUUUAUACAAUGAUUUUUGAAGUACAAUUAAAACAAACCUAUAUCGUGAAUUCGUCUUUCAAACAUCUAACGGUUAAUAAAAAUUCCGUAGUCAUAUUAUUGUACAUCUAGCGUUAAUGUCGUAAUCUUAGACCCCCGCAUUGGGUUUUUAUGCAAGCAUUUUUUUUAUUAUAAUGAAUUUAAUUGACAUAAACCCAAAGUAGACAGUCAAAAUAACACAACAAUACAAUGAACAGUAAACAUAAACAUAAAGCCAGGGAGAAGUAAAUGAGGAAUUACACAAACAUAUUAAAAGAUUUACAUAUUGCAUAUGUUUUACUUGCUUUCUUAUUACUUGAGAAAAAAUGUCUUUAUAUACAUUUUAAUUCGCUAGAAAUGCGUUUUGUCUGUUUCUGUCUAAACCGUCACCGGCGUCACGUGACACAGACGCGAUCUUUUUAUUUUUUUUACAGACGCGAUUCCUUCUAUGACCUAAUAUGGAAUCCAUGACGACAUAGAACGCCAGCUCUCCGGCUAUAUAAAGCGCAGUUCCACUGAGUUAUUCUGUGAUGAGUUUAGGAAGAGAACGGUCAACCUUAAAACACUCUGCUGAGGACAGUGCAGUGCAGGUAGGGGAGGAAACAUCUUAAACCUUAUUAAGCAUUAGAAAAAAAAACACUUGUGUAAACGCUAACUGCGAAUUCGUUUAUAAUUAUGAUAAUUAAUUCAUGUGUUUUUAUUAGAGAUACAGAGAUAUAUGUUAUGCGUCGUGUAAAUUGACCCGAAAAGUUUUGGAAACGAAUCGCUUAACAAAGCGUUAUUUACAAUAGAAUACUUUAAAACCUUUAAACGUCCAAAAUAAUUUUUUUAACUCAAACAUCAAACAAACGUCGCAUAGAUAAUCAAAACGAGCCCACAUUGUAUGAGACUGUGCCCUUAAGGCAAUUUUUCACCACAGGGACCGUUUAAUCCUACAGAAAAAUCCAGCUAAGACCAGCAUAAACUGGUAGCUGGUUUAAGCUGGUUUUAGCUGGUUUAAGGUGGCAGUAGCUGGUCCAAGCCUGGCAAUGCUUGCAAAACCAGCUUAAACCAAAUUUUUCAGUAGAGAAGAGAAGUAGCUUUCACUGUAAAGGUGUAAAGGAAUGGCCCUACUUUUAAAACACCUACGGUAAGCAUAGUAAACACUUUGUUUUUAAACAUCAACUUUUGCGCUUAUGAUAAUUAAUUGACUUACUUUUAUAAAUCAGAAAUAAUUCUGCGUCAAGUAAAUGAACACAAAAGGCAGAUGUAAAUGAACAAAAAAGGCAGAUGUAAAGGCAAUAAAUAAAUAAAUAACAAAACACUACGAUUAGAUGUUGGGUCCUGCUUUGUAAUGUAGUAAUAUGGUAAUAAUAAACACCAUUUGAUAACAUUGCUUUUGCUAAUAUAAUACUUGACAUGUUUAUUAAAUUAAUGAUAAUUAUGCUAAAUAGAAAUGUAUUUACGCUAAAUGUAAAUAGAAAUGCUAACAAAUUCAAUUAGAUGUGGAGUCCUGCCCUUGAUGGGUGGGUGGCUCACAGAGCAGAGCUAUAUAGUUAUUUACCAUAAAAUAUUUAGAUACCUUGUUUUAAAACGUCCCAAAACUAUUUUGGAAUCAAACCCGCAAAAAUAAUUAUUUUCAAAACAUGCCAGCCACGUCGACCCACUUUACAAUACUUAUGAUAAAUUUGUCAUAUUUUUGUCUUUCUAUUAACUUGUUUUCUUCUUUGAGUUUAAUUUUUAAACAGAUAGUAAAACACUUGAUCAGUUCAGUUUAUAUAUUAAAUAAAAAAUUUACUUUAAUCGUCUCAAAACUUUAGGUUGCUCGAAGGUCCUUGUUAUUAGAUUUUGGGACUGGCAUAAAGACAGGAAUGGCCCUACUUUUAAAACACCUAAGCAUCUAAUGUAAAGACCUUGUUUUUUUAAUAUUACAAGUUUUUCUAACAUAAUAAUCAAUAGAUUUAUAUUUUUUAUAGAGAUUAUUAUCCAUCGUGUACAUACGUUAAAACAGAUGUAAAGGCCAACAAGUUAUUUUUAAUUAAACACUUAACUAAUACGAUUAGAAGUAGGGUACUGCCCUGUAAUGUGGGUUGUUGGCUCACAGGGCAGGGCCCUAUAGUUAUUUAUUAUGAAAAUAUCUAAAUACCUUGUUUCAAAAUGUUUCAUAACCGAACAAUCCCGACGAGAGGUGUCUAGAGCAUACGUGCAAGCGGGACAGGGCCGUCUGCCAUCCUGGAAGCCUUGGACUUCCAGGGUGUCUGACCCUACCGGCAAAGCCCAAAGACAGGACUCAAAAAUGGGUGUGCAGGCGGGACAGGGCCGCCUGCCAUCCUGGAAGCCUUGGACUUCUAGGGUCUCCAACCCUACCGUCAAAUCUUGACAAUAAGUCUUGGGUGGGACAGGGCUGCCUGCCAUCCUGGAAGUUUUUGAUUUCCAGGGUCUCUGACUACCACCAGAGCCUGAGGAGAGGUGUCCAGAGCAUACACGCAAGCAGGACAGGGCUGCGUGCCGUGCUGGCAGUCUUGGACUUCCAGGGUCUCUGACCUUACCUGCCAAUCCUGACAAAAGGUGUCCAGAGCAUACGCGCAAGUGGGACAGGGCCACUUGCCGUCCUGCAAGUCUUGUUCUUUUAGGGUCUUUGACCCUAUUGGCAGAGCCAGAUGAGAAAUGUCCAGAGCAUAUGCGCAAGCGGGACAGGGCCGCCUGCCAUCCUGGAAGUCUUGGACUUCCAGGGUGUCUGACCCUACCGGCCAAGCUUGACGAGAGGUGUCCAGAGCAUACGCGCAAGCGGGACAGGGCCGCCUGCCAUUCUGGAAGUCUUGGACUUCCAGGGUGUCUGACCCUACCGGCCAAGCUUGACAAGAGGUGUACAGAGCAUACGCGCAAGCGGGACAGGGCCGCUUGCCAUCCUAAAAGUCUUGGACUUUCAGGGUGUCUGACCCUACCGGCCGAGCCCAAAGACAGGACUCACAAACGGAUGCGCAGGCGGGACAGGGCCAGCUGCUCUACUGGAAGUCUUGGACUUCCAGGGUGUCUGACCCUACCGGUCAAGCAAGACGAGGUGUCCAGAGCAUACGCGCAAGCGGGACAGGGGCGCCUGCCAUCCUGGAAGUCUUGGACUUCUAGGGUCUCCGACCUUACUGUCAAAGCAUGACAAUAAGUCUUGGGUGGGACAGGGCUGCCUGCCAUCCUGGAAGUUUUUGAUUUCCAGGGUCUCUGACUACCACCAGAGCCUGACGAGAGGUGUCCAGAGCAUACACGCAAGCGGGACAGGGCCGCCUGCCAUCCUGGAAGUCUUGGACUUCCAGGGUCUCUGACCUUACCUGCCAAUCCUGACAAAAGGUGUCCAGAGCAUACGCGCAAGUGGGACAGGGCCACUUGCCGUCCUGAAAGUCUUGUUCUUCUAGGGUCUUUUACCCUAUUGGCAGAGCCAGAUGAGAAAUGUCCAGAGCAUAUGCGCAAGCGGGACAGGGACGCCUGCCAUUCUGGAAGUCUUGGACUUCCAGGGUGUCUGACCCUACCGGCCAAGCUUGACGAAGGGUGUACAGAGCAUACGCACAAGCGGGACAGGGCCGCUUGCCAUCCUAGCAGUCUUGGACUUCCAGGGUAUCUGACCCUACCGGCCAAGCCCAAAGACAGGACUCAGGUCUCUGACCCUACCGUCAAAGCUUGACAAUAAGUCUUGGGUGGGACAGGGCCACCUGCCAUCCUGGAAGUUUUGGACUUCUAGGGUCUCCAACCCUACCGUCAAAGCUUGACAAUAAGUCUUGGGUGGGACAGGGCUGCCUGCCAUCCUGGAAGUUUUUGAUUUCCAGGGUCUCUGACUACCACCAGAGCCUGACGAGAGGUGUCCAGAGCAUACACGCAAGCGGGACAGGGCCGCCUGCCGUCCUGGAAGUCUUGGACUUCCAGGGUCUCUGACCUUACCUGCCAAUCCUGACAAAAGGUGUCCAGAGCAUACGCGCAAGUGGGACAGGGCCACUUGCCGUCCUGCAAGUCUUGUUCUUUUAGGGUCUUUGACCCUAUUGGCAGAGCCAGAUGAGAAAUGUCCAGAGCAUAUGCGCAAGCGGGACAGGGCCGCCUGCCAUUCUGGAAGUCUUGGACUUCCAGGGUGUCUGACCCUACCGGCCAAGCUUGACGAGAGGUGUACAGAGCAUACGCGCAAGCGAGACAGGGCCGCUUGCCGUCCUAGAAGUCUUGGACUUCCAGGGUCUCUGACUCUACCGUUCAAGCUUGAUGAUAAGUCUUGGACGGGACAGGGCUGCCUGCCAUGCUGAAUGUUUUUGAUUUCCGGGGUCUCUGACUACUGGCCGAGCCUGACAAGACUUGUCCAGAGCAUACACGCAAGCGGGACAGGGGCGCCUGCCAUCCUGGAAGUCUUGGACUUCUAGGGUCUCCGACCUUACUGUCAAAGCUUGACAAUAAGUCUUGGGUGGGACAGGGCCACCUGCCGUCCUGGAAGUCUUGGACUUCCAGGGUCUCUGACCUUACCUGCUAAUCCUGACAAGAAGUGUCCAGAGCAUACGCGCAAGUGGGACAGGGCCACCUGCCGUCCUGCAAGUCUUGUUCUUCUAGGGUCUUUGACCCUAUUGGUAGAGCCAGAUGAGAAAUGUCCAGGUUCCAGGGUGUCUGACCCUAGCGGCCAAGCUCGGCGAGAGGUGUCAAGAGCACACGCAAGCGGGACAGGGCCGCCUGCCAUCCUGAAAGUCUUGGACUACCAGGGUGUCUGACCCUACCGGCCAAGCUUGACGAAGGGUGUACAGAGCAUACGCGCAAGCGGGACAGGGCCGCUUGCCAUCCUAGCAGUCUUGGACUUCCAGGUCUCCGACCCUACCGUCAAAGCUUGACAAUAAGUCUUGGGUGGGACAGGGCCACCUGCCAUCCUGGAAGUCUUGGACUUCUAGGGUAUCUGACCCUACCGUGAAAGCUUGACAAUAAGUCUUGGGUGGGACAGGGCUGCCUGCCAUUCUGGAAGUUUUUGAUUUCCAGGGUCUCUGACUACCACCAGAGCCUGACGAGCGGUGUCCAGAGCAUACACGGAAGCGGGACAGGGCCGCAUACCGUCCUGGAAGUCUUGGACUUCCAGGGUCACUGACCUUACCUGCUAAUCCUGACAAAAGGUGUCCGGAGCAUACGCGCAAGUGGGACAGGGCCACUUGCCAUCCUACAAGUCUUGUUCUUUUAGGGUCUUUGACCCUAUUGGCCAAGCUUGACGAGAGGUGUCCAGAGCAUACACGCAAGCGGGACAGGGCCGCCUGCCGUCCUGGAAGUCUUGGACUUCCAGGGUCUCUGACCCUACCAGCCAAGCUUGACAAGAGGUGUACAGAGCAUACGCGCAAGCGGGACAGGGCCGCUUGCCAUCCUAGAAGUAUUGGACUUCUAGGGUGUCUGACCCUACCGGCCGAGCCCAGAAACAGUACUCAAAAACGGGUGCUCAGGUGGGACAGGGCCAGCUGCUCUACUGGAAGUAUUGGACUUCCAGGGUGUCUGACCCUACCGGCCAAGCUUGAAGAGAGGUGUACAGAGCAUACGCGCAAGCGGGACAGGGCCGCUUGCCAUCCUAGAAGUCUUGAACUUCUAGGGUCUCCAACCCUACCGUCAAAGCUUGGCUUUAAGUCUUGGGUGGGACAGGGCUGCCUGCCAUCCUGGAAGUUUUUGAUUUCCAGGGUCUCUGACUACCACCAGAGCCUGACGAGAGGUGUCCAGAGCAUACACGCAAGUGGGACAGGGCCGCCUGCCGUGCUGAAAGUCUUGGACUUCCAGGGUGUCUGACCCUAGCGGCCAAGCUCUGCGAGAGGUAUCAAGAGCACACGCAAGCGGGACAGGGCCGCCUGCCAUCCAGGAAGUCUUGGACUUCCAGGGUGUCUGACUCUACCGGCCAAGCUUGACGAGAGGUGUACGGAGCAUACGCGCAAGUGGGACAGGGCCGCUUGCCAUCCUAGAAGUCUUGGACUUCCAGGGUGUCUGACCUUACCGGCCGAGCCCAAAGACAGGACUCACAAACUGAUGCACAGGCAGGACAGGGCCACCUGUUGUCCUGGAAGUUUUGGACUUCCAGGGUCUCCGACCCUACCGGCAGAGCCCGACGAGAAGUCUUCGACUUCCAGGGUGUCUGUUCCUAACAGCUGAGCCCACAGAUAGAACUCAGCAACGGAUGCACAGGUGGGACAGGGCCCCUGUUGUCCUGGAAGUUUUGGACUUCCAACCCUACUGGCCAAUCCUGAUGAGGUGUCCAGAGCAUACGCGCAGGCAGGACAAGACCACUUGCCGUCCUGCAAGUCUUGGACUUCUGGAAGUCUUGGACUUCUGGAACUCUUGGACUUCCAGGGUGUCCUACCCUACCGCCCUAGCCCAAAGAAAGGACUCAGGAGCAUAUGCGUAGUUGGCACAGGACUUCCAGGGUGUCCGACCUUUCCUGCUUAGCCCCGAAGCAAGGACUCUGAAGAGGACACGCAGGCGGGACAGGGCCGCCUGACGUCCUGGAAGUCUUGGACCUCCGGACGGCCGAGCCCAAGGAGAGAGCUCACCCCUAUACACGGUCAUGGUCGGCAUUGGCCAUUACAUUGACGUUGUGAAAACGCUUUCGAGAAAUCGUAAGAGGGAGAGGCUCACAUAGCGUCAGCUUCAAACGCAAUGUCGAGAGACUGUUCUCGAAAGGGAACAACGUAAAGCUAGGCAAACGCUAAACAUACUAGCCUAAACUGAACUAUAAACAUAACAGUAAACUAAACUUUAAAUAACUAGACUUAAUAGACUUCAUACAGGAAACUUACAAAUAAAUCAGCACAGGACAGCAAACACAAGCUUAUCAAGGGGUCAACAGGUGUGAGGCAAGAUAAUUAACCCAAUUAACAACAAAGGAAACAAUGACAUGUUCUUCCACACAAAACAAGUAACGUUGUCACGAUCCUGACAAAAGACUAGAAAAGCAUGAAUGAUAGAGGCAGGAUCGUGACAUAUGGUGAAAUUGUCAUAUUUGUCAUAUCUUUAACUUCUUCUGUGAGUUCAAUUUGUUUUACAGAUAGUAAAAACAGUUGAUUGAAUGUUGUUAGAUGACCAACUCAUAUCUUAGAUCGCUCUAUCGUGUUCGGCUAUCAACUCUCAGCAUCAAUAAUGAGGCACUUGAGGAGUGGCAGGCUGUGCAAAAGGGCACAUCUCAAAACAUGCAGCUGGACAAUAAUACCAUAGGUAGGAAGCUGCAGAUGGGGGAAAAGACAGAGAGGACCAGGCUCAAUGACUGAUGGAAAGCUCUACAUACAGGCAUCAGUCAAUCAGAACACCUGAGAGGAUGCUGCACAUUCACUGUGAUGAAACUGUGAAGACAACUCAGACAGAGACUGAAAACAACACCACUGAAAUCACAAAGCAUUCAAGAGACGGACACGCGCCUCCGCCAAUAAUAACAUAAUAAAAGUAAAUAAAGAUAUAAAAGAUGAAAGUGCUUCUUCCAGUGCUGCUUCCAGGACCGAAAUUGCCUGUUUAGAGCCAAUUUAACAUAGAAUAUUUAUGUAAUAAAAACAGAAAUAUUCUGGGAGAAAAAAGAGCAGUGCGACGCGGCUUUUCAUAUUGCUAAGCAACCACCGAGUCAGCUGUCUUGUCAAUCAAAUAUUGAAGCGUGAGCGCUCUUUUGCUGUUAACUGUCAUAUUAGCAGAAACUUUAAAAAGAGGGCGCUUGCUCUGACCUUGUUUGAGGGUGAGAGGUGCACAAACACACAGGAGACAGUGAGCGAGUGGAGUCCGGCUCUUCAAAGCAACUGUAAACUUCACUCACUACAACAUAAGGCCCGCCUCUCCCCUCAUUCGAUUGGACAAUGGAAAGACGCGAAUGACGUCGGGCACUUCUUCGCUCUCAGCGCUCCUUCAAAAACGCAAACGCGCCCUGCCCAUAGAAUAUCAUUCAAAAAAGGCGCCUGCAACUGCCAUAAACGCUUUUGGUGUGACUGGCCCAAACUUUAAAGGUUUCAUUAGCGUGCAGUGUCCUCAAUAUUAUUUCUGCGUAUACGUUCAUGCAGAUUUUGCCCGGAUUAUUGAAUGUACAGACCCUUUUAUGGACAUUAUUUAUGGUUAUAUUAAAGGAGUUAUGCAGUCCAAAACAGAUGUUUACUGUAGUAAAACCAUGUUUUGCCAAUGGUAAUCAAUAAAGCAAGACAACAUGG